UGGACACAGAGGAGUACAGAGCAAGUCACUGGCCAUAAGAGUGGGAUGCCCACAUUGGAAAAAAAGGGGUCAGCACAUCUGGAGUGCAAUGGAUAAGCCUUGCCCUGGGAAAACCACCUUCGUGAUCAUGGUAUCUCCCCUGCCAGGAAGAAGCAGCCCCUUUGGGGACGGGGUCUGGCGGAGACCGUCUGAAGACUGCCGACCGGCCUGAGAGGGUCCGGGGGAGGCGAUGCGCUUGGGUCUGCCAUCACAUCACGCACUUUCAAUCCAGCGGCAUAGCCCACUGGCUGUGGGGCGAUGUUGGGCUGAACGGCUUCCCCCAC